AGAGUUUGAUUCUGGCUCAGGAUGAACGCUGGCGGCGUGCCUAACACAUGCAAGUCGAACGGAGUUGUGCAUCGGAAGUUUUCGGACGGAAGAAGCAGAACUUAGUGGCGGACGGGUGAGUAACGCGUGGGUAACCUGCCGUAUACAGGGGGAUAACAGUUGGAAACAACUGCUAAUACCGCAUAAGCGCACACUGUCGCAUGACAGAGUGUGAAAAUUUCCGGAGGUAUACGAUGGACCCGCGUCUGAUUAGCCAGUUGGCAGGGUAACGGCCUACCAAAGCAACGAUCAGUAGCCGGCCUGAGAGGGUGGACGGCCACAUUGGGACUGAGACACGGCCCAAACUCCUGCGGGAGGCAGCAGUGGGGGAUAUUGCACAAUGGGGGAAACCCUGAUGCAGCGACGCCGCGUGAGUGAAGAAGCAUUUCGGUGUGUAAAGCUCUAUCAGCAGGGAAGAAGAAUGACGGUACCUGACUAAGAAGCCCCGGCUAACUACGUGCCAGCAGCCGCGGUAAUACGUAGGGGGCAAGCGUUAUCCGGAUUUACUGGGUGUAAAGGGAGCGUAAACGGCAAUGCAAGC
rnacentral:rRNA from 1 species